CUAAAACACCGCUUCUCGUACGAUCACCGAAGUUAAGCAACGUCGAGCCUAGUCAGUACCUAUGUAGGUGUCCGCUUGGGAAUA